GCCUUCGUGGUGUAAUGGUCAGCACACUCGGCGCGUAUUCGAGAGGUCCGUGGUUCGAGUCCCGGUGAGGGCA
rnacentral:tRNA from 1 species